GUCUUCGUAGCUCAGUUGGUAGAGCAACUGACUCUUAAUCAGUGGGUCCAGGGUUCGAAUCCCUGCGAGGACACGA
rnacentral:tRNA from 1 species